rnacentral:rRNA from 1 species
GGGGAGCGUUCUGUAAGCCUGCGAAGGUGUGCUGUGAGGCAUGCUGGAGGUAUCAGAAGUGCGAAUGCUGACAUAAGUAACGAUAAAGCGGGUGAAAAGCCCGCUCGCCGGAAGACCAAGGGUUCCUGUCCAACGUUAAUCGGGGCAGGGUGAGUCGACCCCUAAGGCGAGGCCGAAAGGCGUAGUCGAUGGGAAACAGGUUAAUAUUCCUGUACUUGGUGUUACUGCGAAGGGGGGACGGAGAAGGCUAUGUUGGCCGGGCGACGGUUGUCCCGGUUUAAGCGUGUAGGCUGGUUUUCCAGGCAAAUCCGGAAAAUCAAGGCUGAGGCGUGAUGACGAGGCACUACGGUGCUGAAGCAACAAAUGCCCUGCUUCCAGGAAAAGCCUCUAAGCAUCAGGUAACAUCAAAUCGUACCCCAAACCGACACAGGUGGUCAGGUAGAGAAUACCAAGGCGCUUGAGAGAACUCGGGUGAAGGAACUAGGCAAAAUGGUGCCGUAACUUCGGGAGAAGGCACGCUGAUAUGUAGGUGAAGCGACUUGCUCGUGGAGCUGAAAUCAGUCGAAGAUACCAGCUGGCUGCAACUGUUUAUUAAAAACACAGCACUGUGCAAACACGAAAGUGGACGUAUACGGUGUGACGCCUGCCCGGUGCCGGAAGGUUAAUUGAUGGGGUCAGCGCAAGCGAAGCUCUUGAUCGAAGCCCCGGUAAACGGCGGCCGUAACUAUAACGGUCCUAAGGUAGCGAAAUUCCUUGUCGGGUAAGUUCCGACCUGCACGAAUGGCGUAAUGAUGGCCAGGCUGUCUCCACCCGAGACUCAGUGAAAUUGAACUCGCUGUGAAGAUGCAGUGUACCCGCGGCAAGACGGAAAGACCCCGUGAACCUUUACUAUAGCUUGACACUGAACAUUGAGCCUUGAUGUGUAGGAUAGGUGGGAGGCUUUGAAGUGUGGACGCCAGUCUGCAUGGAGCCGACCUUGAAAUACCACCCUUUAAUGUUUGAUGUUCUAACGUGGACCCGUAAUCCGGGUUGCGGACAGUGUCUGGUGGGUAGUUUGACUGGGGCGGUCUCCUCCUAAAGAGUAACGGAGGAGCACGAAGGUUGGCUAAUCCUGGUCGGACAUCAGGAGGUUAGUGCAAUGGCAUAAGCCAGCUUGACUGCGAGCGUGACGGCGCGAGCAGGUGCGAAAGCAGGUCAUAGUGAUCCGGUGGUUCUGAAUGGAAGGGCCAUCGCUCAACGGAUAAAAGGUACUCCGGGGAUAACAGGCUGAUACCGCCCAAGAGUUCAUAUCGACGGCGGUGUUUGGCACCUCGAUGUCGGCUCAUCACAUCCUGGGGCUGAAGUAGGUCCCAAGGGUAUGGCUGUUCGCCAUUUAAAGUGGUACGCGAGCUGGGUUUAGAACGUCGUGAGACAGUUCGGUCCCUAUCUGCCGUGGGCGCUGGAGAACUGAGGGGGGCUGCUCCUAGUACGAGAGGACCGGAGUGGACGCAUCACUGGUGUUCGGGUUGUCAUGCCAAUGGCACUGCCCGGUAGCUAAAUGCGGAAGAGAUAAGUGCUGAAAGCAUCUAAGCACGAAACUUGCCCCGAGAUGAGUUCUCCCUGACUCCUUGAGAGUCCUGAAGGAACGUUGAAGACGACGACGUUGAUAGGCCGGGUGUGUAAGCGCAGCGAUGCGUUGAGCUAACCGGUACUAAUGAACCGUGAG